UCCUGCCCUCCACCCAACCCCUGCAAGCAGCAGGAUGAUUAACCCCACCCCUGAUUCCUGCCAUUUUAGUCAUCACAUGUGUCCAGGUCCCAUGUUGCUAUUGCCUGGGAUUUUCCAUCAGUUUUAUUUUCAGUGGCAUCCAUGGCUUGCACAAUCCUGUUCCAGUCAUGACUGAACAUUUGCCCUCCUUCAUGUGCCUGUUUGGGACUGUUGUCGUGAUUCCCCAUUACACAGUGCAUGGAUGAAAAUCUAAUAAACGAAGCGUAUCUGUAUAUAGUAGAGUAGAGCAAAUACUGUCCUCCCAUUCAGCGAUGUUGAUUGGACAUUGAAGACAUAAGUGAGUUUUCUUUUCACCUGAGUUGUUCCUUUUGAGUUGUUCUUGAGUUUGGAUAUUAAUAGGGAUAAAAGAAGAAAAUGGCUUGUUGUUCAUGAAUCUGCACGCUCACUUCUAAGAAGCAAUAACUGUCAUGGGAAGAGAGGUUAGCAUUAUUGAGAGGAUGACAGGCAAACUACAAAGAAGUCCAUGAAAUAGGAGCCACACAGAGCACAUCAGAGGCCUCUAAGAAUCACCCAUUGAUCCAUGUAGGCCGAGGAGAAAGGCUGGGGAGACAAGUGGUUACUUCGGAUGUGCCUGGACUUUUAGAACCUCAGUUUCCACACCACCCCUCCCCCAAUGUAUUUAUUGCACAUCUGCUCUGUCUGGCACAGAUGAUAGAUAGGCUUAGUUCAUUUUUUUUUUAAUGGAGAAGGCUGUUUUGAGCCCUGUUUCAUUCCCAUCUUGGUCCAGACUCCCUGAAUUUCUUAGCAACUCCUGAGUGGAAAGGAAGUCUGAGUGACCAGUGGGACUUUAGAGGUCCACUGGGUAUGACUACGAGGAAAUUACUCAAAGAGACUGGGGAGUUUUUAACCCUUGGAAAGGAAUGGCUCUUUCCAUUCAAAAAUACCAAAGAGCAGAGAUAAACCCAACAUUCCAAAAGCUGUGAUUCUACUAAUGGGAAGAGGGAUGGCUUUGCCUAUCUCUCAGACACUUCUCUGAGCCUCCCUGGCCCUCUGCAUUGACUCCAGAUAUUUAAGAAAUAAAUGUUGCUGAGAACUCCUUUUCCUCCUUCCAAUGAGUGGUGAUCAUAGCCAUUCAUUGUUUAACAAACAUUUAGUGACUGGGUGAAUAGUUAGUGAUGUGUUGCCCAUUCAAUAGGCCAGGUAGUAUUCUACAACCUGGGAGCCGAGCAGUGACCAAGACAGCCCAGAUUCCUGCUCCCAAGGGGUAUGUAGGGAAUGGGAUUUCUACUCAAAGAGUAAGAGCUGACACUGAGACAGUUUUUAAUCUUGCAAGAGAAAAAAUAAUUAUGACUUUAACAUAGUCACAUUAAAAUUGCACAACAAAGGCAGUUGACCAAAUGCUCAUGUAUUUUUUUUUCCUAAGAGAAUGUAAUGUUUAGCUCUGGAAAAGUACUCUUUAGAGCCCUUGGGGCAUGGGCAGGUAUUUUCAUCCUUCUAGNUUAGACCAAGCAGGGCACUAUGUCGGUGACCGACAUCACCAAGAAGACCCAACUAGCCUAUUUUUAAUCUCUGUGGCUAUGGUACCUUUCCAUAACAACAUGCCACAGGCCACCAACAGUGGUGACCCUGGGGACUCCUCCAUGGAGGGAGCACUCUAAGCCAUCCUGUUUUGAUUGUUUUAAUCUUAAUUUUAGAUUUUAAAGGUGGAAAGCUAGACUAGAAAUAACCAGUAAAUAUAGUCAAAGGAUAUAUAUGGUUAAAAACCUUAGGAAGAUUUUGCACUGGUUUUCGUUCUGUUCUGUUCUGUUUUGUUUUUAAGCCAUUUUUCGCAUGUCAGUAAUUCUGUAGUGAAUUUUCACAGAGAACUUCCCCAAAACUACUUGCUAUUGGUCAGUUUCAAGUUCAAGCUUUCUGGUUUGUUUGCCUUCUCAGUCUUCAUGCUGUAGGGAAAAUCUGAUUCUGGAUGUUCAGGGUUCUUAAUUAAUUAUGUGUAAAUGAUUUCAUUUUCUUUGUUUGAUUAUUUUUAUUUUGUGUGUAUUGUGCACGGCUUUAGGGGGACAGGCACUCGCAGUACUGUUCCUUAAAAUUGGUACACUUUAUUGACACAGGAAAAAAAAACCAAUAAAGUUUCUUACUGUUUGUGAUUUCAUCACCAGUGUCACAGCAUGUUCUGUACUGUGGAAUGUCCCUUCUCCUCACUGUCAUUGAUUUCAUUUUUUGGUUGUUUGUUUUCAUGCUCUGAAAAAAUAAAGACCAAAAAGGUAUCCCUGUGCAAUCGGUAUCCUCAUCCAUUGGGAAAGAGACAGCCAAAAUUCAAGCUCAUGCGAAUGUCAGCCCUUGGGUCCUGCUAUGUUUGAAUGGCCCACAAGCAGCCCAUGAAGUCAGAAUGUUUGUCCCGUGAUGCUGUGAUAAAAAUAAACAUUGGGUGUGCCUUCUUUUCACCA
rnacentral:lncRNA from 1 species